GCGGCUCCAACCAUUGGUCCGCGCUACCUGUCCAUUUCUUGCGAGAGUUCAACACCUCCUGGCUGGAGGAGGCUGCGGCCUCAUUGGGUGCAUGCGGAGGGAUGGGUGGACCCAGAAAGGCUGGAUGUGGAAGAAUAGAAAACCUCUGAAGAGGACACCGGGGUGGUUCAGUCGGCGUCCCACUUGAUCUCACGGUUGCGCCCUCAGAGGAAAAGCCAUAUGAGGACAAAGCGGCCAUCCAUAAGCUAGGAAGAGAGCCCUCGCCAGAACCCAAACUCUAUCGGAACCUUGAUCUUGGACUUU